rnacentral:rRNA from 1 species
GUCUAUGGCCAUACCACCCUGAAUGUGCCCGAUCUCAUCUGAUCUCGGAAGCUAAGCAGGGUCGGGCCUGGUUAGUACUUGGAUGGGAGACAACAGGACUGAAAACA